rnacentral:rRNA from 1 species
GGUAGGGUGGCAAACGGGUGAGUAAUACAUGGGUGAUCUACCUUAGGGAUGGGGAUAUCCUUCCGAAAGGAGGGGCAAUACCGAAUAUUGUCCGGAGCCGUGAAGGGUUCCGGGGAAAGGGAGGCCUCUGAUACAAGCUUUCGCCUUAAGAUGAGCCCAUGGCCCAUCAGCUAGUUGGUAGGGUAAAGGCCUACCAAGGCUACGACGGGUCGCUGGUCUGAGAGGACGACCAGCCACACUGGCACUGAGAUACGGGCCAGACUCCUACGGGAGGCAGCAGUGAGGAAUAUUGCGCAAUGGGGGAAACCCUGACGCAGCAACGCCGCGUGUGGGAAGAAGGCCUUCGGGUCGUAAACCACUUUUGCACGGGACGAAAAAGGGAUAUCGAACAAAUAUCCCCAAUGACGGUACCGUGGGAAUAAGCCACGGCUAACUCUGUGCCAGCCGCCGCGGUAAUACAAGGGC